rnacentral:rRNA from 1 species
AGAGUUUGAUCCUGGCUCAGGAUGAACGCUAGCGGGAGGCUUAACACAUGCAAGUCGAGGGGCAUCACGAGGUAGCAAUACUUUGGUGGUGACCGGCGCACGGGUGAGUAACGCGUAUGUAACCUGUCCUUUACAGGAGGAUAACCCGGAGAAAUUCGGACUAAUACUGCAUAAAGAUAUAGUGAGGCAUCUCACAAUAUUUAAAACUACGGUGGUAAAGGAGGGGCAUGCGUAACAUUAGCUAGUUGGGAGGCUAACGGCCUACCAAGGCAAUGAUGUUUAGGGGACCUGAGAGGGUGACCCCCCACACUGGUACUGAGACACGGACCAGACUCCUACGGGAGGCAGCAGUGAGGAAUAUUGGUCAAUGGGCGAGAGCCUGAACCAGCCAUCCCGCGUGAAGGAAGAAGGCGCUAUGCGUUGUAAACUUCUUUUUCAGGGGGAUAAAAUUCUGUAUGUAUACGGAACUGAAGGUACCCUGAGAAUAAGCAUCGGCUAACUCCGUGCCAGCAGCCGCGGUAAUACGGAGGAUGCGAGCGUUAUCCGGAUUUAUUGGGUUUAAAGGGUGCGUAGGCGGAAGAAUAAGUCAGUGGUGAAACCCUGCAGCUUAACUGUAGACUUGCCAUUGAUACUGUUUUUCUUGAGUAUGGUCAAGGCAGGCGGAAUGUGUAAUGUAGCGGUGAAAUGCUUAGAUAUUACACAGAACACCGAUAGCGAAGGCAGCUUGCUGGGCCGUUACUGACGCUGAUGCACGAAAGCGUGGGGAUCGAACAGGAUUAGAUACCCUGGUAGUCCACGCCGUAAACGAUGAUCACUAGCUGUUGGCGAUACACCGAUCAGCGGCAAAGCAAAAGCAUUAAGUGAUCCACCUGGGGAGUACGGCCGCAAGGCUGAAACUCAAAGGAAUUGACGGGGGCCCGCACAAGCGGAGGAACAUGUGGUUCAAUUCGAUGAUACGCGAAGAACCUUACCUGGUCUUGACAUGCAUGUGGUAGAAGCCUGAAAGGGUAACGACCUCGCAAGAGGAGCGUGCACAGGUGCUGCAUGGCUGUCGUCAGCUCGUGUCGUGAGAUGUUGGGUUAAGUCCCGCAACGAGCGCAACCCCUGUGUCCUGUUGCCACCCUGAAAAGGGGGAACUCUGGACAGACUGCCCCGCUUAAACGGGGAGGAAGGUGGGGAUGACGUCAAGUCAGUAUGGCCCUUACGACCAGGGCUGCACACGUACUACAAUGCCCGGUACAAUGGGCCGCAAACCAGCAAUGGGGAGCAAAUCCUAAAAACCGGGCCCAGUUCAGAUUGUCGGCUGCAACUCGCCGGCAUGAAGCUGGAUUCGCUAGUAAUGGCGCAUCAGCUACGGCGCCGUGAAUACGUUCCCAGGCCUUGUACACACCGCCCGUCACAUCAUGAAAGCCGGUUGUACCCGAAGCCGCCAAGCCAACCGCAAGGAGGCAGGCGUCUAAGGUGUGGCUGGUG